AAUAAGCUAAUGCAAAGCUAUUGGGCUCAUACCCCGAAAAUGGAUAGAUUCCUUUUAUCA
rnacentral:tRNA from 1 species